UCAUGUGUACAUUCCUAUAAUGUUCAUACAUUGGGUCCCAUUACAACUCUGUUGUUUAGAAUCCUUGGGCUAGACUAGUACUUGUAUGGGUGACCUCCCGAGAAUUCCUAGUGUUUUACAUGCC
rfam:Picea glauca, whole genome shotgun sequence.